GGGGAUUUAACUCAGUGGUAGAGCGCUUGCCUACCAAGCGAAAGGCCCUGGGUUCGGUCCCCAGCUCCA
rfam:Rattus norvegicus chromosome X, whole genome shotgun sequence.